ACCACCCCCUUUCGCAUCAUAUUACGACACAAUUUUUCUAAUAUAAAUAUCUCGGCGAGUAUUUACCCCCUUUUAAAUAAAAGCCGCCAUUGUAAUCCUCACAAAAUAACCUUUCAAACGGGGGGUCAAGUGCCGUCAGAACAUUACACAAACUGAAACAAUCAUAUAUUUACUCACCGCUUGGACAAAGAUUCUAAAUUUCAUAUACACAAGAUCUUAAAUAUCUCUUGAACAUUUCGUCAUUUGCUGAACGGCUAUAUGUGUAAAAUACUCUUUGUAUUCGAGCGCUUUCGUGUACAAAAUUUCGUUUGAAUACGGCGAGUAGAAAUAUUUAUUUUGAAUUUUUCAAAAUGUCGGGUUUUACUCGAACUUGCGUACAUUGCGCAAACUCACGCGUGUAGGUGCAAUUUGACCUUGCGAACCAUUCCUGGCCUUUGCAGGGUCAUACGAUACCAGCAUGAGCUCCACCUUUGAAUUUACUAUACGAGUAAAUUCUUAAACACGUCCGAAUUUAUCAUUAUGAUAAAUUCGCGGCAAAUUUUGAAUUUAUCAUAAUAAUAAUUUCGCGGCACCUAACACUAACCCUAACCCCAACCCUAACCACUAACCCCUAACCCCUAACCCUUAACCACUAACCCCUAACCCUAAUUUUUUUAACUUUUUAAAUUUUCUUAAAUUUUUUAAAAAUCUACCUUUUUAAACUUUUCUUGCUUUUCAAAACUCUUUUAAAACUUUUUUAAAAACUAUUUUUUUAAAAAAUUUGAAUAAUUACCCACACCUGCGCGACCAGCCUCCCUUCUAGUGCCAUUACAUUUAUAACGGGAAACCUUGUGCAAUGCUUGUGGUUUUAUGAUUAACUCUAUUGAUAAAUUCAAAAUGUGCCGCGAAUUUAUCAUAAUGAUAAAUUCUGACGUGUUUAAGAAC